rnacentral:sRNA from 1 species
UGCGAGCUUCGAGGAGGAGCGGGUGCGAGCUGUGGCCCCGGAAGGGCCCACGGAGAGGUGACUUUGGGACCGAAACCCGAGUGACUUCUAGGGGAAAGUUUAUAUGGACUAUAAUGCAACCACUCCCCUGGAGCCAGAAGUUAUCCAGGCCAUGACCGAGGCCAUGUGGGAAGCCUGGGGAAAUCCCAGCAGCCCGUAUUCAGCAGGAAGAAAGGCCAAGGAUAUUAUAAAUGCAGCUCGGGAAAGCCUCGCGAAGAUGAUAGGGGGGAAACCUCAAGAUAUAAUCUUCACUUCCGGGGGUACUGAGUCAAAUAAUUUAGUAAUCCAUUCUGUGGUGAAACAUUUCCACGCAAGCCAGCCCUCAGAGGCACACACAGGUGCGCACCACAGCCCAGUGAAGGGGGCCAAGCCCCAUUUCAUUACUUCCUCGGUGGAACACGACUCCAUCCGGCUGCCCCUGGAGCACCUGGUGGAAGAACAAGUGGCAGCGGUCACCUUUGUCCCAG